rnacentral:tRNA from 1 species
CGGGGCAUGGCGCAGUUUGGUAGCGCGCUUCGUUCGGGUCGAAGAGGUCGUCGGUUCAAAUCCGGCUGCCCCGA